GGUCAAUUGCAGCCGAUUUCAUUAUGUGAGCAGAAAUUUUUUUAUCUGAAAUUGCAAGCUUUCUGCCUUUCUUAGCAUUUUUGUCAAAUUUCAAAUUAGAUUUCCUUCUUCUUCUGUCAUAUGUAAACUGCUUUCAAAUUGUUUGUGAUCUCCAUCUCCCUGUCUGCCUCUGAAAAUGGAACCCCAUCUCUUCCCAACCAUGCCUUUGAUUUUCAUCAUAACCAUAAUGUUCCUCUGUCCUCUGUUUGUGUCUGCUGUUGAUGAGCGACAUCAGAACUGCACCGCAACAUUUGAUUGCGGAAACAUCACAAAUAUCGGCUAUCCCUUUUGGGGAUCGAACCGACCUGAUUAUUGCGGCCACCCGAAAUUCUGGCUUAAUUGCACUGACCAAGCGGCGCUGAUCACCAUCAAGAAUUUAA
rnacentral:misc_RNA from 1 species